AGGAUAAACGCUGGCGGCGUGCCUAACACAUGCAAGUCGAACGCGCUUUUUCGCAAGAGGAGAGCGAGUGGCGGACGGGUGAGUAACACAUGGGUACCUACCUUGGAGUGAGGGAUACCGGCGAGAAAUCGCCGACAAUACCGCAUACGCUUCUCUUCACCGGGAAGCAAAGUUGCGCAAGCGACGCUUUGAGAUGGGCCUGUGGCCGAUUAGCUAGUUGGUGGGGUAAGAGCCUACCAAGGCGACGAUCGGUAGC
rnacentral:rRNA from 1 species